AUCCAGUUGAUGAGUUCCAAAUAGGACGAAACGCGUGUCCUGGAU
rnacentral:hammerhead_ribozyme from 1 species